rnacentral:rRNA from 1 species
AACGAACGCUGGCGGCAUGCCUAACACAUGCAAGUCGAACGAGACCUUCGGGUCUAGUGGCGCACGGGUGCGUAACGCGUGGGAAUCUGCCCUUUGGUUCGGAAUAACAGUUGGAAACGACUGCUAAUACCGGAUGAUGACGUAAGUCCAAAGAUUUAUCGCCCAAGGAUGAGCCCGCGUAGGAUUAGCUAGUUGGUGAGGUAAAGGCUCACCAAGGCGACGAUCCUUAGCUGGUCUGAGAGGAUGAUCAGCCACACUGGGACUGAGACACGGCCCAGACUCCUACGGGAGGCAGCAGUGGGGAAUAUUGGACAAUGGGCGAAAGCCUGAUCCAGCAAUGCCGCGUGAGUGAUGAAGGCCUUAGGGUUGUAAAGCUCUUUUACCCGGGAUGAUAAUGACAGUACCGGGAGAAUAAGCUCCGGCUAACUCCGUG